AAAGUUCACAGACUUAUUUGCCAUGUGAUUAUAACAUGGGAAAGUGAGUUUGUUGCCAGGAACAUGUGUUUUCCAAAUCUAUUUCUGUAUUUUUUAUCUUUGUGGAAGAUGUUAUUAUAAUAGGGGGAAAACUGGUUAACUGAUCAUUUUCUUUGAAUUUAAGAAUGAAGUUUGUGAAACACAUGACAAACAAAAGCCCUAAUUUAUCAAAGGUUGGAGAAAAACUUAGCACGUGUCUUGUAUUGAUGGCUUUGAUGUGUUAUGGAAGGGACAGGCGUUACCACUGCAGACAGCUGUGCUCAGCUUACCCCUCACUCCACACUCCAACUUCUGUUGUGGAUAUAAAAAUUUUUU
rnacentral:lncRNA from 1 species